rnacentral:rRNA from 1 species
AGUGGCGCACGGGUGCGUAACGCGUGGGAAUCUGCCCUUUGCUUCGGAAUAACUUCGGGAAACUGAAGCUAAUACCGGAUAAUGUCGCAAGACCAAAGAUUUAUCGGCAAGGGAUGAGCCCGCGUAGGAUUAGGUAGUUGGUGGGGUAAAGGCCUACCAAGCCGACGAUCCUUAGCUGGUCUGAGAGGAUGAUCAGCCACACUGGGACUGAGACACGGCCCAGACUCCUACGGGAGGCAGCAGUGGGGAAUAUUGGACAAUGGGGGCAACCCUGAUCCAGCAAUGCCGCGUGAGUGAUGAAGGCCUUCGGGUCGUAAAGCUCUUUUACCAGGGAUGAUAAUGACAGUACCUGGAGAAUAAGCUCCGGCUAACUCCGUGCCAGCAGCCGCGGUAAUACGGAGGGAGCUAGCGUUGUUCGGAAUUACUGGGCGUAAAGCGCGCGUAGGCGGCUACUCAAGUCAGAGGUGAAAGCCCGGGGCUCAACCCCGGAACUGCCUUUGAAACUAGGUGGCUAGAAUCUUGGAGAGGUCAGUGGAAUUCCGAGUGUAGAGGUGAAAUUCGUAGAUAUUCGGAAGAACACCAGUGGCGAAGGCGACUGACUGGACAAGUAUUGACGCUGAGGUGCGAAAGCGUGGGGAGUAAACAGGAUUAGAUACCCUGGUAGUCCACGCCGUAAACGAUGAUAACUAGCUGUCCGGG